UAUCCCUCUUUAAAAAUCAUGGUAAGAUAGAUACGGUCCCACAUUUUCCCUGCAUAUAUUAUAAAGGUAUGGUCUUCUCUCCUUAAAACCCUACAAAUGAUCUGAUUUUCAUGGACACAAACAAAAGGAUGAAAAGAGGAUGUGCGCCACUUGCUGGCAUAAUACUCGACAUUUUGCCAGCCCUUUAGCCCUGCCUCUUGAAUUCUCUUGCAUCCCCUUUGGUCCCAUACACAUGUGGAAUAUCUGUUCUUCUAUGGAGAAUGAUCUUUGCUAUAGUCAUCAUGUAUACGAGGAAUAUUAUCUCAGCUACCUUUACCUGCUGCUGACCUCCAUUUGCACUGAGUAGGGUUUAAAAACUCUGAAUUAAUGCUGCAGCUGGUUGUGGGAACAGUUAAUAGUAGAUAAAAAUUGACUAUUUUUAUUUUUCUGUUUCAACAAG